GGACGCAUAGCUCAGCUGGUUAGAGCGCUCGCCUCACACGCGAGAGGUCGCAGGUUCGAGUCCCGCUGUGUCCACCA
rnacentral:tRNA from 4 species